rnacentral:rRNA from 1 species
GACAGAGGGGGCAAGCGUUGUCCGGAUUUACUGGGCGUACAGCGCGCGCAGGCGGUGGACCAGGUGCCCUGUGACAUCCCGCAGCUCAACUGCGGGCGGCCAGGGUAGACCAGCCCACUGGAGGCAGAGAGAGGCAGGUGGAAUACCCGGUGGAGCGGUGAAAUGCGUAGAGAUCGGGUGGAACACCAGCGGCGCAAGCGGCCUGCUGGCUCUGAACUGACGCUGAGGCGCGAGAGCGUGGGGAGCAAACCGG